UGAGCGCUGGCGGCGUGCCUAAUACAUGCCAGUCGAGCGACCAGACGCGGAGCUUGCUCCUCUGACGUUAGCGGCGGACGGGUGAGUAACACGUGGAUAACCUACCUAUAAGACUGGGAUAACUUCGGGAAACCGGAGCUAAUACCGGAUAAUAUAUUGAACCGCAUGGUUCAAUAGUGAAAGACGGUUUUGCUGUCACUUAUAGAUGGAUCCGCGCCGCAUUAGCUAGUUGGUAAGGUAACGGCUUACCAAGGCAACGAUGCGUAGCCGACCUGAGAGGGUGAUCGGCCACACUGGAACUGAGACACGGUCCAGACUCCUACGGGAGGCAGCAGUAGGGAAUCUUCCGCAAUGGGCGAAAGCUUGACGGAGCAACGCCGCGUGAGUGAUGAAGGUCUUCGGAUCGUAAAACUCUGUUAUUAGGGAAGAACAAAUGUGUAAGUAACUAUGCACGUCUUGACGGUACCUAAUCAGAAAGCCACGGCUAACUACGUG
rnacentral:rRNA from 1 species